UUGCUUCAACAGCACAUACCCUAAAAUCAGAAUGAUACAGAGAAGAUCAGCCAUAGACACUGCACAAGGAUGAAGUGUUCAUAUAUUUUAGAAUAUAUUAUAUAU